rnacentral:tRNA from 2 species
GGCGGAUGUAGCCAAGUGGAUCAAGGCAGUGGAUUUGUGACC